UAAUUAGUUCUAAUUUUUUGGUGUUUUUAGGUUUUCUGUAUGUAGUGUCAUGUCAUCUGCAAUAGUGACAGUUUUACUUCUUCCUUAUCAGUUUGGAUGCCUUUGAUUUCUUUUUCCUGUCUGACUGCUGCAGCUAGGACUACCAAUAUAUGGUGAAUAAAAAGAGCAUGAGUGGGCAUCCUUGUCUUAUUCCUAAUCUCAGAAGAAAAGCUUUCAACUUUUCCCCAUGGAGUAAUAGGGUAGGUGUGGGUAUAUCUUAAAUGGCCUUGAUUGCAUUGAGGCAUGUUCCCUCUAAACCCACUUCACUGGUAAUUUUUAUCAUGAACAGAUGUAUUUUGUCGAAUGUUUUUUCUGUGUGAUUUUUAUCAUUUAUUUUGUUAAUGGUGGUCUAUCAUAUUGAUUGAUUUGUGGGUACUGAACCACACUUGUAUCUCUAAAAUCUGACUUGAUCAUGGUGAAUGAUCCUUUUAGUAUAUUGUUGAAUUCCAUUUACUGUUUUAUGGAAGAUUUUUGCUUCUCUGCUCAUCAGAUACUGGCCUUAAUUUUCAUAAUCAUUAUAUUUUAACUGCUGCAAUCUUACAAAACUUUAAUCGGUGAAGAGUUGCUGCUUAUGGAUGAGCAAAGAAAGUCGUUAAUUUUAGAUGGAAUCUUCUCUUGGUAAAGAUGCUGUGAAGAUUCAGCAGUGGCAACAAAGGGUUUAGAAUAUUACAUAAACUUAGUUAAAAAGCAGCGGCAGGCUUUGAGAGAAUUGACUAUUGAAAUAGAACUGUCGAACAGCAUCACAACAGAGAAACCUGAAUGGAAGACUUAGCCACAACCAGUCCAAACUUCAGCAGCCACCACCCUGAUCAGCCAGCUGCCAUCAACUUGGAGGCAAGACCUUCCACCAGCGGAAGAGAUUACAACUAGCUGAAAGCUGAGAUGAUGGCUAGCAUUUUUAGAAAUACAGUAUUUUUUAAUUAAGGUAUGUACUUUGUUUUUAGAAGUGCUUCACACACCUAAUAGACUAUAAUACAGUAUAAACAUAACUUUUGUAUGUACUAGGAAACCAGAAACUUCAUUUAAGUUGCUUUAUUGCAGAUCUCUGUAACCUAACCUGCAGUAGAUCAGAGGUAUGCCUAUGUAGCUGUUUGGUUUGUGGUUACUAUGAGCCUUACAUAGAACUACCAAUUUAAAGUAGACUUUCAUGAAUAUGACAGUUUUACUUUGAAGGCAUUCUAAAGCUCUGCCUUUUUACUCUUACCCAUCCUACCACCAUGGUUUAGGUUUUACUUCCUCUUACUUGUGUGUAUCCCUUAAUUAUUAUAGUUAUUUUUACUGCUUUUGUCUUAACCUUCAUACCAUUACUUUUACGCUAAUGUUUAUCUUUACCAGUAAAAUGUUCACUCUUCCUGUUUUCUUGUUACUAAUCCACACCUUUCCAACUUAAAGAGCUCCCUUUAGCAUUUCUUAGGAGGCCAAUUAAUGGUGACAGAUUCCUUUAGCUUUUGUUGUUCUGGAAUACUCUUUCUCCUUUAGUUCUGAAAGAUAACUUUGAAAGAGUGUAUAUUCUUUCUUGAUUGGAAGUCUUUUUCUUUCAGCACUUGCACUCUCUCAUGCCACUCCUUUCUGGCCUGCAAAGUCCUGCUGUAAAAUCUGCUAAUUAUUGUAUGGGGGUUCUUUUGUAUAUAAUAAAAGUUCCUCUCUUGGCUGCUUUUAUCCUGGUCUUUAACUUUUGACAAUUAGUGUUUUGGUGUGGGUCUCUUUUGGUUCAUUUUAUUUGGAAUUCUCUCUGGGCUUCCUGUUUCUGGAUGUUGGGUUCCUCUUCUAGGUUUUCAGCCCCUUUCUGUCUCUUCUGGGAUCCCUGUCAUGUGAAUGUUAGUUGAUGUUUUCCUCUAAGUCUUUUAAGCUUCCUCCUCCUCCCCCCACCCCUGCGCUGUGGGUGAAUUCUAAUAUCCUGUCUUUAAGAUCAGUGAUCCUUUCUUCUGCUUCAUCUUGUCUGCUGGAAAACCCCUCUAAUUUUUCAGUUCUGUUAUUGUAUCCUUUAGCUUUGUGAUUUCUAUUUGGUACUUUUUUUUUUUUUUUCCCCAACUUCUGUGUUCAUCCAUUCUUCCAAUUUUGGUGAGCAUAUUCAUGGCCAUAGUUUGAGCUCUUUAUCAAGUAGAUUAUUUAUCUCCAUUUCACUGAGGUAUUUUUCCAAGGUUUUAUCGUAAUUCUUUUAUUUGGAACAUAUUCCUGUUUUUUUUUCCUCUUUGUUGGUUUCUGUGCUUUAGAUGAAACAGCCACCUCUCCCAAUGUUGAAAAUAAACCUUUUCAUUCAACCUUGCCCUAUCAUUUGUUUCUCAAACUUAUGGUUGUCCAAGCAGACUAUUUUUAAGAGCUCCUGGUAGCUGAGGGUGUGCCAAGACCUGUCAGUGUACCAAAGGGGAAUCUCUUGCCACUUAAAUUCAGGAUGAUUGAAAGCUGCUGCCUGAGGUCUGGGUCUCACACCAGGGUGUGAGAACUCCCCUCCCAGAGGUGUUGGUGCUCUGGAACAGGCAGAGUGAGAGCACAGAGCACCUGCCCUCUGAGGCCUCUGAUAACUAAUCCUUAGAUGUGUGUUUUAAUUAGAAGCCUGCCCCUCAGGCUGUAGCCAUGAUGAUAAACUAAGACCUCUUUCACUGGAAGACUGAGCUCUUGGAUCUGCUGUCUCUUGGCUGUGCCCUGGGGGUAGCUGCUUCUCCAUUGAUUACUGUCCUGUGGGACCCAUCAGCCUUGCCCUGUUGGCCACCAGAGCCACACAAUGUACAGGUGUCCCCUGCAGCAGCUGCAAAAACCGGGGUGCUGGACAAAGGUACAAACUCCAUUUGGGGAUAUGCCAUCAAGGUGGGGAAAGCAGGGGGAGAGUGCAAAGAGGCUUCUCAGCCACAGACUCCUAGAUACAUGCCAGACCAGAAGCUUUCUCCUGAGGCCAGAGCUCCUGGACAAAAAGUCCUGUUUCAGUCCACUAUCUGUGCAGUACACUGUAGGUGGUAGUUAGCCAAGAACCAUCUCCCAGUUGUCCCAGUACCAUGGGACCCAGGAAUAUAAGACCCUCUGGCUCCAGAGCCAGUCAAAGGGCAUCCCUGGGCAGCAGCUUUAAAAUGUAAGUGUAAAGGCUCCCUUCCAGGAGAUACUGGCACUUUGGAGCUCAGCAGAGGAAGAAUGUGAAGAUGGCACCCACCAGCCUCCAUCCCAGAGAACAGUCCAGCAUGUGCCUCCACAUGAUGCAUUAAAGCUAGCAAGUGAAUGUUUCACGUGAAGUCUGCUUUUCAAAGUGCUGCUUGUGCACUGGAUCCUGUGGCAAGUGAGUCCAUUUAAGCCCUUCAAGAGCCGUGCCUCAGUUCUCCACAGCCCUUUGGGUCUCUUGAAUGUGAGCACACGAUUAGUUUCCAUAGCCAGAUGUUUUGGAGGCUCAUCUCAGGCAUAUGUCUGAAAAGCUGGUGAGUCCUAUUUGAAGUAUGAGCCCUUCAUUCCCCAAGGAGAGGUUCUGGGUUUAUAAAUUCCCUCCCAAUUGUGGGUUGUGUGCCUUGGGCCAGGUUUAUGGCAGAAUUAGUUCUCAGACUCUCCUACCAUCUUCAGUCAAGCCUUUUUCUUGUUUGAUAAUGAAGGGGUUGCUCAGCUAGUCUUCAGGUCUCCUUCGGAGGAAAUGUGGUUCACACAGAGUUGUAGCUCAAGUGUGUCCAUGGGAGGGGGCGAGUUCAGGGUCUUCCUGCAUUGCUCUUGUACUGCCUGGGCUUUGGAAUAUAGUCUUAAUAUUCAGGUAAUAGUUCUAAGCAUAUUUUCAAAAUAUAGUGCAGUCUUUUUAGAAGACAGUGUGGCAGUUACUUAAAUUUAAAAUGUGUUAAAUCCACAUACUCAUUAGAUAUUAGGACAUGUUCAAAUAGGACACGGGGGCAUCCAAAGUAUUUAUCCCAAUAGUAAAUAAAAACAACAAGGACUUUAAAAAUUACACAUAUAAGCCAUACAGUGGAACACUGCACGCUGGAUAUAUACCGACAUGGGAGGAUCUUGGAGAUAAAUUGUUACAAAGAAAGAACAAGCUGAAAAAUAAUGUGUAGGCCCAUUUAUAUAAAUAUAGUUGGAUGAAUAUAUAUACGUAUACAUACACAUACAUAUACACAUGUGUAUAUAAAACAUUUUCUUUAGAGACUAGCAAAUGGCUGGGUAUGGGUUACAGAAGGGAAUGCUGAAGGAUCACUGUCCCUUUUUAUUCUACAAGGCUGAAUUCAUUUUGACAAAAUAGAGACAUUUUGCUUAUAAAAUACAAAUACAGGCAGGAGAGGAUUAACAUGUAGCUUUGCUUUUCGCUUUUAAUUUGACAUGUAAAUACUUAACUGAUGGCUGCUAUUAUUUAUAUGAAUUAUUUUCUGAAAAUAGCAGCCAUUUACUGAAUAUAUCCCUCUCUGAGCUCAAUCUUCCACAUGCCUGAAAUAUAUAAACCUGUGGGGUGAAAGCAGUUAUCUCCUUUAACAGCUAAGGAAAAUGAGCUUUAGAGAAGUAUUUUGCCCAGGUUACUUAGUAUGAGCCAGAGCAGGGCUCUAAAAAAGCCUGUGCUUCUAAUUAAAUAUUAAUACUAGUCACUAAUAUUUAUAAGAAAGCUAACAUAUAGAACUAUCUCUGGCAUAGGUUAUCUGAUGAUAAACAGCCUCGUAAAUUUUCACCAAGGAACCACAGUUUAAGAGGUAUCUUAAGAAACUGGAGUCUGCCCAAGCACACAGCCAAGAUACUGAAAGAAAACUUGACAUAGAAAUACAGAAACAAAAAGGAUAUUUCUUCAGAACAUGGCAGCCAUCUUUAAAAACCUAAAAUGUUACAUGGAAAUAGAUCUAGAUUUAUUCUAUUUGGUUUUGGAGAGUAGAUAGGAUUAGAAGGAGAAAAUUACAGGGAAAAAGAUCUUAUGAAGAAAAAAUUCUAUUAAAGUAGACCUCUCUUAAAAUGGGAUGGACUUCCUCAUGAGGUGGUAAGCUUCCUACAAUUGGAAGAUUCAGAGGCUAGACAAGCUACUUACCUCAGAUCCUAUAGAAGAAAUUAAUGUAGAAAUUUGAACUACACAAGCUCUAAGAUACUAAUAGCCUUUAUAUUUACAGGUUAUUUUUCAACUAUCAUUUACAUCUGUAGCAAAGCAGUAAACAACAUGAAAUUAAUUUUUCUGAUACUACAAGUUACACUGUUCUAAUGCAUAAUCUUACCCGUAUUCUUCUCAGCAUACAUAUUCACCUUCCGUUCAUCUGAUGGCAACAGUUUAAAGCAGACUUUGGAUAUGCUGGUUUUGGUCACACUGGAGUAUUUAAUAUCCUUUAGUGGAACACAUGUUGCUUCCUUACCUAUAGAACCGCCUCCCUGGUAAACCAAGAGGAUCGAUGAAUGCUCUCUCCAGGAGCAUCAAUUGGUCAUUCAUGAUUCUCACUGCAAUAGGACUUUGAAAACAAGAAAUAGUGAUAAAAGGUAAUUCACCAAAAGAAAAUCGGGGCAUCUAGGAAAAGAAGAGGAUGCUGGUGAGCCACAGAACUGUGAAUGUCUAUCUCGCUGUCAGCUCUGCUUAUUCCGAUUUCAUUUGCCUCGUUAAAGAGACUCUCCAAUCCAAUUGUAUGUAAAUACAAUUUCCUAGAUUUUCUUUGUAUCACUUUAUCUAGAUCGUAGUACCUGCUGCUCAUGACUUUGAAGAUUACUAAUUUGUAUGCAAUAUUCCAAAGCCAUUGCUGACUUCUCUCUACUUACUCUGUGUCCCUACAGUACUCUCUGUAGCAUCCUAUAACAGCUUGUCCCUGGCAUUUUUGUCUUUUCCCUCACUUGAGAGCCUGUGCUCUUUGAGGACAAUGAUUAUUUUUUAAACAUUCUGGUAUCUCCCAGGAAAUAACACAGUAGACAGUAGACACUGAGUACAUACUUGAUAAUUUUGGUAUGUACUAAGAAUAUCUACUCCCAGAUUAAAAGAAAAUGGUUAUAGUAAAACAGUACUAGUAGGUAACGUUUAUAAGACUCACCACUGUGUCUAUAUAUCCAACCAACUGAAUGUCCCACAGCAGUCUUGGAAACGUUAUAUUCUUUACCAUUUCACUCAGAGGAAGAUUGACAAAGGUCAUGUAACUUUUCCAACAUCACACAAUGACUAAAUAUUAGAACCGGGAUUUGAACCAGGUAACUGCUUCUAGACCCAAUGCUCAGUCCUUUGCACCAUACUAUAUUUCAUCCCUGCUUUGUUGGAGAUAGCAUAGUACAUAACUAACCACAAAAUGGCAAUGUGAAUAUAAAAUGAAUAUAAAAUACACAAAAUGAAACAAUGCUUAAACCAGGUAAAAAAAAAUCUCCAUGUAAACAAAAGUAUACAAUAAUUAUACAUGUAGUGGAAUUGGUUUUCUCUAUUUUCCCAUCUUUGUGCAGUAUUGUAUUUUUAUAGUAUUGUUCUUUUAAGAGCAAAAAUAUUUCUAAAGGCAGCAAUAUAGGGAAAAUAUUAACCAACCCAAUGUUCAUAGCACUAACUUAGCAAAACAAAUUCAUCCUACAAAUACCAGGUUAAAUGACAUUCUUUAACGGUGUUUCAAGUUUUUUCCUAGAAAUCAAAAUUAAGUAACGCAAGGAUGUAUUCUAGGAUGAAAGAGUGUGCAGUGAUGACAGUCGGAGACGAUAUCUGAAAGCUCUAACUCAGAUUAUAAAAUAUACCCAGCCAUUCUUACCAAAUGAUACUCCAUGGUCUCUCAAUCGUUGGUCAUGUUUCUUAGAUAAAUUGUAGAUGCUUGUUGCAUAGUUUUUCAAAGCUUUUGCAUAGUCUUCAAUAUUGAAAGGAAUGAUUAUAGAGUCUGCAAGCUCAUAAACCAGUGCCCCUCGUAACUGAGCCACUGAAAGCUGUUUUUUAAAAGUAGGGUCAUAAAAAUUCUCUACUAAUUCAAACGUCUCAUAAAUUGUAUGGUAUACCGGGUAGCUGCUGUACUUAUCUGUUUUCUGGGGAAACAAAAUAUGGGUAGGUACUGAAUAUAGACAAACAUUAAAUACUCCAAUUAUAAUAUUUAUGUAAUCUUAAAAAUGCAGAAAAAAAAAUACAACCAUGUGGAACUCUGAGUUUUAUCAUGAAGCAAAAAGUUAAAAUCUAACAGUUUCACCAACUAUUCACCAAUUUAAAAUUUUACUGUUAUUUAUCAUUCACGUAAUCUUCAUUCAAAAUACUUCAAAAUUGUUAUUGUAUUUCUGAUAACUGAAAUUAAGGCAUACAUACUCAAAUUGCAUAUUAACACAGUUUACAAUUAUCUAUCAACUGAUUGGAAAUGAAAGGUUCUGGGCAGCUAAGAUCUGUAUAGAAUCUACAUUUAAGCACCUUCUUUGCCUUCCCAAACUGUAUAACCAAAUGCCAUCUAACCUUUAUUAUGCAGUUAAGGGCUACCAUUGUAAACUAUUACAUAGAUGUAUUUUAUAUAAAUAUUUGUUUUACUCUUUAGGUCUGCCUUUCCUAAGUUUAGUUUUACCUAUAUGCUACUUUGCUAUAAGGUUAACAUUUCUACUGCGAAUCCUUGUGUCAGUCUCUCUCCUGUCUAAUGUCCUGCUUUUAAUCUGCAGUUUCUUAGAAACUAGACAACUGUGUUCAGAUUGAUGACAGAAUAUAAAAGUGAACAGGCCUUGAAAGAGUUUAAUGAGUAUCAGGAUACAGAUUUAUUUUGCUUUCAUCUCUGUUCUGAUUCUGGAGAAUCAGAUUUACAAAAGGUAUGUAUUCUAGGCAACCAAGACUGUGUAUUGCAAUUAUGAUUUGAAAAUUAUUAAAAUCUGUAACAAAUCUGGGUUUGCUGAUGUAAUCUUCAGUUUGGUUUAUCACAUAAUUUAUAACCUAGACAAGCAAACAUGGCACGUGUUGGCAUAUUCAAAUACAGAUCAUCAGUGUGUUUGAAUGGAAUGGUGCAAACUGAUAAGAAAAGUUAAUCGACUUAAAAAUCAGGAGGAACUUGUUUUAUUCCCUACUCAGGAGCCCUGGACUCAGAUGACAGGCAGGAGUGAGGAUGUGAAGAGGGGCUACUGACAGUAAAGACUCGUGUCCUAGCAUUCCCUGGGACUAAAACAGGUUCUUCACAUGCACAUUUUCCUCAGGAAAAGUGGAGGAGAACGGGAUUUUCCAAUAAAGCCUGAAUGAGAACAGGGAUGUGCACUACUUGGUUCUGCUAACCAGCGAAGCACUUGGCAGUAAUCUCCCAGCUACCAUUUCAUUGAAUAAUCCUGCAAGGAAAAUUCACUGAAUAACCCAAAUUAAUUCCUAGUCCAUCUACAAAGAGACAUGAAGUCAGCCUCCAGCCCUGGAAUUCUUCCCAGGCCACAUGACCUGGUGCCCUGCUACCAAACAACUAAACAGUUUAAAAUUCCUAACAAGAAGUUGGAUAAAGUGCUAUGUAUCCAAAAUAAUGAAAUGGCUUACCCUGUUCUUAGUGUAACGGGCUCUGCCUGAAGCAAUCCCAAGUCUCUGAAAGUAAGCUUCAAAAUCACUUCCAGAUCCCAGCUUGUUGAUUCUAGAUGUAGAAUAUAAGUGUAUAUACACACACAAGGAUAUUAUAAAUGCAUAAGUUAAAAAAUGUGAAGUUAAAGAAAUAGAAAAAUGAAUCCUGUCCCAGGAAUAGCAAGGAACUGCACAGCACAUUUACAAAAAUUAGAAGGUACACCACCCCAAGCUACUUUCCUGUCACAUGCCGGAAAUUGCUGCGUUAAACCUGUAAAUCUGCACUGACUACAGUCACAGUUGAACAGUGCCACCGAAGACAGCAGCCUAGUGACUGUGGUCUCUCUCACAUUGUCAGUCUUUUAGAAUAUUUACAUAGAGGGGAAAAAGAGAAAAAUAAAAUGUGGUCACUACCCUCAGAGAACUAUAGUAAGAAAACUGCCAUGAUAAAAUGUAUUUAGGAUCACGAAGAAUCUAUGCCUUAUUUAGAAAAUGAAAUUACAAUAUAUUUUUUUGCAUGUAGUUAAGAAACCACUACAUACAUACAUAUGUAAUAUAUAUGCAAUAACAUGGGAAAAUUUAUGAUAAAAUGGUAAGCAAAGAAGAAAAUUAUAGGUGUAUUAGAAAAUACAUACUUCCAAUGUGUUUUUGAGAUGUAGGUAUUUUAAAACCUUUUUUUUGACUCUAGUUUUUUUUCUUUUUUUAAUCAUGUAAAACUUUUACAAUGGAAACAAACUUUCACAAGACUUAUUUGGAGUAUGUAAUGGAGCUAUUAACUGUUACCAUCAUCUGCUGGUUUAUAGAAAUAGUAUUGCAGGAGAAAAAAAAUUGAAGAAAACUGUUGUGUGAAUGAGAAGUAAAAAAUUAAUACAUUCUAUAUUCAUUACAGGUAAAGACACAAUUCGGUAGUGACUCAUAAUGCCCCUUAAACUUAGAAGCAAAUAGUCCAUAUUUCAUCAUUAUCAUUUGGUGUCACAUUAAUGCAUUGAAUACAUAUCUAAAAUUUAAUACAAAAAUGCAAAAUAAUACCUGAUAAUGUGGCAAAAUAAUUUUGGCUAAACAUUUGCAAAAGUAGAAUUUAUUAUAGAUUCAAAGACUUGGCUAUUCUGUCCCAUUAGCAAAUUGAAGGCUACACAGGGAUUCUUUGGGAUUAUCUUUCUUCUACUCACAUUGUUGACACAGCUGAGAAUUACAUUUCUGGAGAAACAACGGGCAAAGGGGAAUUCACAAUUGAUCCUAACGGUAGAAAAUAUACAAGUAAUUCACCUAGGAAAAUCUUUAUUUUCAGAUGAAGGGUCCUUUUCCAACCAGCUUUCAUAAAGAGACUUACUCUCAAAACCAUCAUCUGGGCUGGAUAUCUGGAAAGAAACAUCAAAUAUUGGGAAUUAGAGGCAGAAGCAACUAAAUUUAUGUCGAUAAUAAAACCAUAGGUUAUCAACUUCUAACUAUAUGGACAUAUAUCAUGUUCUUGAUAGAAAAACAAGCAAAUGACAAAAAAAUACAACCAAAUCCAUGUUCAUUUUUGUUGCCUGCCUAUUGAUAAUUUUGCCAUGUACGUGAGAUAAAAAAUCUCUGGCUUAUUUUGGUAAACUUUUUUAAUAGAG